rnacentral:tRNA from 1 species
GAAGAUAUAGCUCAGUGGUAGAGUACAUGCCUAGCAUGCACAAGGUCCUGGGUUCAAUCCCCAGCAACACCA